CCAAUGAACGUUAGGCCAGCCAAUCCACCGUAAUGUGUCGCGAUUAUUUUCCAUUGGGCCAAAGAAUACUGGAACGUUGGUACACCAUCCACAACAGUGAACAUUCCUGCAACAAAGGAAGAUCAUCGUCACAUCUUUCGUGAUAUUGGAACAAAAGUUGGCGAAAUGGUUUUCAUAUUACAGAAGAAAACCGAAGAUACAAGGAACAGGAAUGUUCCUCUUUCAAAGUAUGGAAAAAAUUAAAUUUCCUCGGAAAAUUAUACUUUUGCCUGUGAAAAAUAGAUUCUUGGAUUUUCCUUUAUUUCUGAUUACUUCUAUUGAUCUGACAGAUUCAACGAUAUUUUCUGCAGGUGGCUUCGCUCGAUCCGUGAAGCACUUUUUGAUAGAAUUCCCCACGGAUUCUCGUUUGGGCUCACAUCAGAACAUAAUGCUGAUCAUGGUAGUGGUUUCAUUCCGAAAUCUUGAAACCACGUAUUUAUCGUGGCAGUUAGAUGAAUAGGAGCAUCGUCUUGUUGAAAAAUUGUCUUUUUGGUUCCUAGUUCAGAUAUGAAAGACAAUAAUUCGCGGAUAUGCUUAAACUACCAUGUCGAUUAAUACGAUAUUAUUAUAUUAUGUUAUAGUAUUGUUAUCCAUAUUUUAUAAUAUUUAUAUGUUACGAACUAUGUUAAACUGAAUUUUCUGUAUUAUUCGUACGCUCGUAUGGACACUGUAUUCACAAAAAUAUGAAUUUAUAUAAAACUCGGCAGCCUAGUGAAACGUUAAUAAUACUCGUAGC